AUAUAAAUAUGGAAGACUUUUACGGAAGAAGUACCGGUUUAGGUUUCCAGACGCAGUUUAACUGCGAAAUCAAUAGAUUUUUGACAAAGGUUGUGGUUCAUUAUUUUACAAACAAAUGUAUGGUACUCAUCACCCAAUACGACGGCCUACCGAAUUUAUAGACGGUACAAUUUGAUACUAAUGAUGUACAUCCAAAACGUUCAACACCUUUGACCUGCACAUAACCAACAUAUACCGCGAGAAAGACUUAUAUUUUACAGCUCAACACCUGGACGCCAUACACACCUACCACAACGGAUAUCAUUUACUGGGUGGUGACUUAAACGCACAUAACACAUUUUGGGGUGCAAAGAAAACAAAUCAGAACGGAAAAUGAUGGGAAGACUUUGCAAACGAUAAACAAUUUGUAAUACUCAACCACGGGUCUCCCCUACUGCUAACGCGAGAAAUACUUUAACAAAUGUUUACGUCUCAAUGACAUGCGGAGUUAUAGCUCUGGUUCUGACAUGAAUUUGUCUUCCUCCGUCAGGGUCUAGCGAUCAUUUUCCAAUCCUAAUUUUCAACAACAUGCAUCAACAGCAGAAUCAACCCCAGGUUUAAUACGAACAAGUCAGUUAACGUCAACAGGGAAGCCGCCCAAAUAAAAAAAAAAGUUUUGAGGAAAGCUGCAAACGAAGCCAUGCCCACGAAGCCAUGCCCACCACCUUUUCAGCACCUAAACACAAUAGCCCAGUCUGGUUCAACAGUCAGAUUGCAAAUCUUAUAAAAGUCAAAAACGAUUGAUGGAAACGGUUUAAAAAGAACCAAACAGCAAACAAUAGGGAAAUCAUAUGCGGCGGUACGAAAAGCAUGUAAACAAGCCAAACAGGAUUCAUGGAAUGGGUUUCUAAACUCGCUUAAUCCCAUACGACCCAAAGCACCUUUGGCAUAAGAUCAAAUGCCAACGUUUCUUCUGUUUCCCACAGAUACUAACUGCCAAUGCUGUACUGAAACACCCAGAACAGAUUGCUGAAACCCUAGGAGCACAUUGGAGCGCAGCGAGCUCGAAUGAGUCGUUUGAGUCAACUAUCAUUGACCAAAAAAAUUACUUGAUUGUUGAGAAUCUACCACAACCACCACAGUCGAAGCAAGUAACCCAAAAUAGUCCGCUCCAAGAACUUGAGGCAGCUCUCAAAACUUCUGAAGGAACCACUCCCAGCCAUGACAAAAUAACCUAUUCAAUGUUAAAGAACGCAUCCAUCACCCUAAAAUCCGUAUAUGCAGUCUAUUUAGUAGAAUUUUAGAUACAGGAGUAUAUCCACAUGGAUGGAAGCAUGCAAACCCGGAAAAACCCAAACUCUCUUGAAGGAUAUCGUCCCUUAUCCCUCUUGCCCACAUUAGCGAAAACAUUUGACAAAAUUCUAGCCAACAGAAUAUGGAAGAGCUUCAGCAAUGAGCUGGAAGCAGAACAACAAGCGUUCAUACCCAAACAUGGAGUAUACACUUUAACACAUACUUUAGAAAGACAACUGAAGUACUUAAGCAGAGAACAUACGGUCGUUUUUUCUGCAGACCUGGCAAAAGCAUACGAUAGAGUAGUAUCUACGGAAGUAAUAAAAGAAAUGCAUUAAUGUGGACUACCCAUGAGCAUCCUUAAGCUCUCUCUCUCCUUCCUCUCGUAUCGAAGGACUACAGCCAGAGUCGACGGAUACCUUUCAAGGGAAAGGAAACUAGAAAACGGAGGUUCACAGGGUUCGCCUCUUUCAGUAGUACUGUCGAUUUAUAACACCAGCCCAGCCUAAUAUUCACCAAAGCUUACGGCAACCCUGUCAUCAUGUUUUUACUUUGUAUUCUUGUAUUCUUUGUACCACAUUUUCUUUAUGCACAUUUUCCAUUUUAUAUGUUCAAAUAUCCCGCAAUUUCUCAUACUCAUCGCAUUUCCAAUCUAAAAGCCGAAGAAGACGCUCGAACAAGAACACCAAUUUUGAAACAUACAAGCAAACCGGCAAACAAACCAACUAACCGGCCAAUAAGCAAGCAAGCAGCAACUUUAACAUUGUCCUACAUUUAUACCUUACGUUUCACUAAGAUUGGAAAUCGCAAUAAAUACCAAAUUUUGUAUUUUAAAUCCAGUGUAAAUGUAUUCAGUCGUCGUCAACAAGUACGUUAUACCUUUUACGCUAAUUCCUUACUAAAGCAGAUAAAGAAUGUGCAAGGUAUUUCGUAUAUAGGUAUAUAGGCAGACAAUAUCUUUGCAGCUGCGUCUGGAACACAUGAAGAGGUCGUGCAAAGUCUUCAAAAAUUUGACGAAAAUAUAAAUAAUUGGGCCAUGGGCACAUGCUCCUCAGUACCCAUCGAAGCAACAACAGCCCUCUAUGUUUGCCGGAAAAAUAAUUGCAAUGUCAGUUCAGUCCUUAUUCGGGGACGAAGAAUACCUUUACAAAAUAGCUUGAGAAUACUAGGAGUACAGUUUUCAAAAAAUAUGUUGUGGAACAAUUAUAUUAGUGUCCAAAAAGACCAGCUUAAGAAAGUCAACAAUUUACUCAAAGUCAUGUGCCCUAAACGAAAAGGCCCACUCAUAGACACCGCAAUUGCUAUUUGUCGUACACUCACUGAAGGUAUUUUACAACACUACCUCACACUCCGGCUGGACAUCCAACAAAAAUAUCAAAACACUUAACACCGAACUAUAUAAAUGCUACAGAACAGCUUCUGGACUACUUAAAACAACUCCCAUACCCACGCUCAAAAUAGAAGCGCGAAUCACAGAUUUUCAAAGUCUGCGGUUUAAAAACUCAAAUCUAGCCACGAAAUCCAUUAUCAAUUAUGAGCAUCCACUCCACAUCAUCUGGAAUUUCCUCGACAGAAUAAAAAACGAUCGCGCACCCAUACGCAAAACAUGCAGUUUAAAAAGAAAUGCUACACGACGCUCACAUCCCUAUUCCAGCAAAACCGCCUAAAAACAAAAAAGAUACAACACAUCUUAUUACGAUAGAUACCCUGCAAAACUCGAAUGACCGAAACUAGAACACAUUCACAGAAAUUUUCGAUUGUCACUAAUACAUAAAUAGUACAUGUGAGAAUUCCCUAUGAAAAAAUCUUAGAAUGAAACAACAUCUUAUAAUUUUUGAACUGCUUUAUAAUAUCUUAUUCACUCGCACACGUUGCAUGCAUAUGGAUGGUGAAAUUUCGCGGAAAGAAAAAUGAACAAAACACAGCAAUCGUGACUUGCAAUUAAUUUGUGAAAUGUGCGGCUUGGCGUUCAGCCAUUUAAAUAAAAAUUUAUUUCAGCGGUGGGAAAUAAAAACUUUGUGUGCCUUCGUUCCAAUCUUACAAUUGCAAUUACAAAAUUGUGCGGCUCGGCGUUCGAGCAUUUUUAUAAAGAUUUCAGCGGUGGAAAAUAAGCGUUGUGUGCCUUUGUUUCAAACUUACAAGUCCAGCCCAGUUUUUGUGUGCAGCACUUUCGUUCGGUGGUUUAAACUUGGCCAGGUGUCGUGACCCUAUUAAUUUGUCCGGGACUAUAUAUAAAUAUGUAUGCAUAAAUCUAUGAUUUUUAAACAUGGAAUUUUUUAAUUAAGACGCUUACUGAAUCUUGUGAAUACCCUAAAUACAUAAAUUUGAACUUACUAAGUACAAAUAAAUGUAUUAAAAUAAAAAAGUACAAUUAAAAAUCCUAAAUGUGCUUUAUUAAGACCUUAACAAAUUAAAUUACGGAAAUAAAGCCCAUAAAAAAAAGACCAAUAAGCCUGUAAAAUGACGGUCGUUAUAACCGUAUACAUUACUACCACUACACCCAACAAAAAAGCAGGGUUCGUAUUUGCACACACAUGCGCAGCACAUCCUAACAUUUUACGUUCACACACGUGUGUGCUCACUGUGCUGUGCAUAUAAAAAAUUAAAAACUUGCUCACAUCACAUGUGUGUGCCGUUUGGUAAAA